UACAGAUCGUGUGAAUCAUCGAAUCUUUGAACGCAUCUUGCGCUAUUGUGAACUCACGAUAGCACGUCUGUUUGAGUAUCAACAACACCUCUCUUCACUCUGUGUGAAAGCAUGUAGUGAUGACUUUUGAGUUUAGCUGAUUCAGCUAUACUUCAAGUGCAAAGUCUGGCGUAUGCUAGUCGACAGUAUUGUUUCAAUCUGAAGACUGCUAUGUAGAAGGACAAGCUCACUCCUCUUUUGAAGAGUGUUCAACCAUUGAUCUCAAAUCAGACGAGACUACCCGCUGAACUUAAGCAUAUCAAUAAGCGGAGG
rnacentral:rRNA from 1 species